rnacentral:rRNA from 1 species
AAUGAACGCUGGCGGCAGGCCUAACACAUGCAAGUCGAACGACCGCACAGUAAGAGCUCGCCUUUAAGGGUGGCGCGUGGCGGAAGCGUGAGGAAUACAUCGGCUUCUUAUUUUACGUGGGGGAUAACGUAGGGCUACUUCCGCUAAUGCCGCAUAGGUCCAACGGGUGAAAGUAGGGGAUUUUCGCACUUUUCGUGAUUGAUUUAGCUGAUGUCGGAUUAGCUAGUUGGCGGGGUAAGGGCCCACCAAGGCGACGAUGCGAAGCGGGUCUGACGGGAUGGUCAGCUAGACGGGAUCUGAGACACAGUCCACACUCCUACGGGAGGCAGCGGUAGGGAAUAUUAGACAAUGGGCGCGAGCCUGAUCCAGCCAUACCGCGUGAGUGAAGAAGGACUUAGGGUUGGAAAGCGCUUUUGUUGGGAAAGAAGAACAGCAGGUUAAAACCCCGCUGUGCUGACGGUACCCAAAGAAUAAGCACCGGCUAACUUCGUG